GGAUGUGAGGGUGAUCUGGCUGUGACAUCUGUCACCCCAUUGAUCGCCAGGGUUGAUUCAGCUGAUCUAGCUGGCUAGGUGGGUGUCCCCUUCCUCCCUCACUGCUCCAUGUGUGUCCCUCCCGAAACUGCAUGCUCCGUGGAAGAGGACGGCCUUCCUGGAAUAGAGACAGACUGGUCUUUGGUCAAGGGUAUAUGAGUAGCUGCACUCCCCUGCUAGAACCUCCAAAGAGCUCUCAAGGUAAGUCUACUUUAAAUGGACCCAAUUUAAUAUCAUGCACAAGUAAACUUAGAAACAGAUACUUCAGAUGGGGUUCUGUAAUU
rnacentral:snRNA from 1 species